UCAAGCUGUAAAGGGCGCAUGAUGGAUGCCUUGGCAUCAGCAGGCGAUGAAGGACGUGAUAAGCUGCGAUAAGCUUCGGGGAGCGGCAAAUACGCUUUGAUCCGGAGAUUUCCGAAUGGGACAACCCAGCGGGGGCAAUGCCCCGCUGACGGAGUCUGAAUCCAUAGGGCUUCGUCGCCAACCCGGUGAAGUGAAACAUCUCAUUAGCCGGAGGAAAAGAAAACAACAGUGAUUCCCUCAGUAGUGGCGAGCGAAAGGGGAACAGCCCAAACCGCCGGACUUGUCCGGCGGGGUUGCGGGACCCGACGUGGGAUCUGGACGGAUAGGAGAAGCCGUUGGAAAGCGGCUCCACAGAAGGUGACAGGCCUGUAUCCGAAAUCCCGACAGACCCUAGGGAUCUCCCAAGUAGCACGGGACACGUGAAACCCCGUGUGAAUCUGCCGCGUCCACGCGGCAAGGCUAAAUACUGCUGGUGACCGAUAGUGAACUAGUACCGCGAGGGAAAGGUGAAAAGAACCCCUGUUAGGGGAGUGAAACAGUACCUGAAAUCAUGUGCUUACAUNNGUGAGCUACCCAUGGACAGGCUGAAGUCGCUGUAACAGGCGAUGGAGGGCCGAACUUAUGAUGGCUGAAAACAUCUAGGAUGAUCUGUGGGUUGGAGCGAAAGACUUAUCAAACUCGGUGAUAGCUGGUUCUCCUCGAAAUAACUUUAGGGUUAGCCUGCACGAAUGCUCGCCGCGGAGGUAGAGCACUGAAUGGACUAGGGGUCUUACCGGAUUUCCAACGCCAAUCAAACUCCGAAUACCGCGGCAGUCACGUGUGGAGAUAGACUGUGGGGGAUAAGCUUCAUAGUCAAAAUGGAAACAGCCUAGACCGCCAAUUAAGGUCCCUAAAGCCGGUUCAGUGACUAAGGAUGUACGAUCGCUAAAACAGCUAGGAUGUUGGCUUAGAGGCAGCCACCAUUUAAACAGUGCGUAACAGCUGACUAGUCGAGCGAUUGUGCGCCGAAAAUGAUCGGGACUAAACCGGCUACCGAAGUUGCGGAUUUCGCCAGNNUCAGGCGUAGGCGAUGGGAAGCAGGUUGAAUAUUCCUGCACCGCCGAUGGGCGACAAAGACACGAUGGAGUACUCGGAAAGCUAGAUCGGCCGUCGAUUGGAAGUGACGGUUCAAGCCCGUAGGGGUGUUGCCAGGCAAAUCCGGCAGCGCAACCUGAAAGGCGACGAGACGCCGCGGCUUCGGCCAAGGUGGAUUGAUUGACGCUCUGCCGGCAAGAAAAGCUUCUAGUGAGUCCAUAGGCGACCGUAUCGCAAACCGACACAGGUGGGAUGGUAGAAGAUACCAAGGCGCGCGAGAGAAACCGUGUUAAGGAACUCGGCAAUCUAGCCCCGUAACUUCGGAAAAAGGGGUCCUCCNNCAAAAACAUAGCACUAUGCCAACUCGAAAGAGGAUGUAUAUGGUGUGACACGUGACCAAUGCUGUAAGGUUAAGGCAAGGGGUCAGCCGCAAGGCGAAGCUCUGAACCGAAGCCCCAGUGAAUGUCGGCCGUAACUAUAACGGUCCUAAGGUAGCGAAAUUCCUUGUCGGGCAAGUUCC
rnacentral:rRNA from 1 species